rnacentral:misc_RNA from 1 species
AGAAGGAGUUAGAACCUGAUUCGUUAGCAGAAAAGCUCGGAGCAGACAUUCUGUAGCAAGAUGGCCAUUCUGAACCAUGUGACUCCUUAGUUAAAACUUCAAGUUGCUGCUCAACCUGCUUGAGCCUCCCUUCAAUGCUGUUAAUGGGUUUUACCAUAUUUUCUUCAAACCUUAGAAAGCAAUUCUCUAUUCUGUCCAUUCGAGAAACAAGCUGGCCCAAAAUGUUUU